rnacentral:lncRNA from 1 species
CAACUACUUUAUACUUCCGACACACACACACACACACACACACACACAUAUAUAUAGAGUCCGGCUACUAUACUCUUAUGAGUACGGUCGCAUUCGUACUCAUAAGUUGUUUUCGAUGAUUGACCUUCCGAAUCGACGAUCUAAACUAUUAAACAUUAUCUAGAGCAUUUAAAACUUCUAGAAAUCAAAUUUUAUAAUUUUUCGAUAUCAUUUACCUUAUGAUCAAUAGCUCUCAAAUUUGACAAUUUUUAACGGCCGGUAUGUGUUACUUGCUAGUUUAACAGUGUUAAAGAAUCAGAAUAGCUUGAAUUUUUGAGAGAAAAUUCUAUUCAUUACCUAGAUAAAGAUCAAUAGACCCGAUCUUAAAUUAAAGGAUCCAAUCAUCCAUUUUUAGGACAUCGUUCGAUUUUGACCGUUCAUUUUAUAUCCGCUUGAUGGACUUUAUAAUGAUUUCGAAAAAUUACGAAAUUUAUUUUCUAGAAGUUUCAAAUACUCUAGAUCAUGUUUAAUGGUGUGGAUCGUCAAUUCGGAAGCCCGAACAUUGAAAACAACUUAUGAGUACGAAGGGCUCUAUACUCAUAAGAGUAUAGUAG